GAAUUGUGGAAACAGCCCUCCUUCCCUCCAGCCUGAGGGGCUUCCUGAGGGGUCCCAACCCGGCACUUGGAAUCAGGAAUGAGACAGAAGCCUAGACUCUACUCCUAGUACUGCUCCUGGGCCAACCCUUCCAGAAGCCACAAAUCUGUGAGUGACAGACCCAAAUGUGAGAGAAUGCAGUCCAGGUCCUGUUUCUUCUGAUCAGGAUGUAGCCAGCACCAUGUCUGCCUGCAUGGCACCAUGCUCCCGUCAUUAUGCUAAUUGACUGAACCUCUGAAACUGCACAGCACUGGUUCCUGCUGUCUCAGCCAUGCUUCCCUCCUACCUCUCCACCCGUCCUCCAGACGAAAUCCACGGACUGCUCACUCAGGACUGCUCACUCAGGACUGCAGGUGGAGUAAAAGAUAAGGAGGCAAGGAGUGUCUAAAUUUAAAGUGCUGGAAAAUCCAACAUUUUAUUCACUACAUUUCGGUGACUACACAAAUGCGGAAACAUUGUAACACUGGGAUCGUGAUGACAUCACCACUUGCUUUUUUUUUUCUUUUCUCUUUUUCUUUAGCAAACACAGCAGAUGAUAUUGCACGGCAUAAAGAGAGAACAGUAUUGAAGUUCAAAAAAUUAAUUAAAAAAUAAAAGGGAAGAAAGAAAGAAACCUUAAUGCAGUACAAACCAGAAGAAUGCCUAACACACUACACAUUUUUGUCGCUAUGCACGGAAAAUACAGAAGAAGGGUCAACAGCGAGAAAGACAGACGAAGUAUCAGCAAAUGACUGUAACUGGGUACAAUAAUCAUUUCAUCUGACAUGUUGAUGCAGUGUAGAAACUACUACCAUUUUCUAAUAGUCAAAGAAGAGGACAGUAACGUUUGUUUGUCUCCUAGCAAAAAUCUCCUAAGCCCCUCAUGGUUAGGUGUGUAGUUAAAUAAUCAUGUAUUUACCAUUUUUUGUUGUUUUUUUUUUUUAAUUCAUUGCUAAGGAAGAACUCCCCCUGCCCUUGGAAAAAUUUCUACUCUAUUGAUCUUUUAUUUAAUUUUUACCUGAUGAUUGUCUUAGGCACCCUCCUUAUAUAAUAAACCAUCAAGCUAACUUGAACAGGGAAA